GACGAACGCUGGCGGCGUCUUAACACAUGCAAGUCGAACGGUAAGGCCCUUCGGGGUACACGAGUGGCGAACGGGUGAGUAACACGUGGGUGAUCUGCCCUGCACUUCGGGAUAAGCCUGGGAAACUGGGUCUAAUACCGGAUAGGACUCCUGCCUGCAUGGGUGGGGGGGGAAAGCUUUUGCGGUGUGGGUUGGGCCCGCGGCCUAUCAGCUUGUUGGUGGGGUGAUGGCCUGCCAAGGCGACGACGGGUAGCCGGCCUGAUGGGGUGACCGGCCACACGGGGACUGAGGUACGGCCCAGACUCCUACGGGAGGCAGCAGUGGGGAAUAUUGCACAAUGGGCGCAAGCCGGAUGCAGCGACGCGGCGUGAGGGAUGACGGCCUUCGGGUUGUAAACCUCUUUCAGCACAGACGAAGCGCAAGUGACGGUAUGUGCAGAAGAAGGACCGGCCAACUACGUGCCAGCAGCCGCCGUAA
rnacentral:rRNA from 1 species